CCGGAGAAAAUUAGAAGGAGAAGAAAAGAAGCAGAGAGAGGCGCACAAAAACAAAUCACAUAACAAAUCACAUUGAUCUAUCUGCUGGUGGUGUUCCGAGGAGAUUAGAAACUUCCCAGUGCUGGUGGUGUUCCGAGAAGAUUAGAAACUUCCCAGUGACUCGCCUGCGGUUCGUGAGCAAGUACGCCACAGUGAGAUUAAAUAUCUCUCGUCAUCGAGCCGAUGUCGCAAGUGGAGAUGAUGGUGGUAGAUGGAGCGAGCCCUAAAUUAUAAACAAAGGAGGAGUGGAGAUAAAAAAAAGAUAUAUGCUAUGUACGUGACCGACGAGGCCAAGCAAUGCAUUGGCUAAAGCUGAAAAAUGCUAUGGUUGUUAUAUAUGUCUAUUUAUAGGCGAAACCAUGGCCGAGUGCUGACAAGGCCAGGUCAAUAUACUAUUAACACGCCUAAAAUAGACAGGAGCCGGAUACACCGUUGCUGGGCACCGACGAGGCAAAAGCAACCACAAAAAUCCAUGUUUGAUGAAGGCCGGGAUACAUGACUGGGCACCGAUGAGGCAAAAGUCACCCGCUUCACCAAAUUCCCUCCGCACGCGGACGUGAUGGUAGUGUACUAUGACCGUGUUUUGGUGAAACAAAGCCACCCGUUACACAUUCAUUAUAUUCACCGUUAAACCUGCACCAACCUCAACCUUCGGCGAGCAAAUAAUUUUGAAGACGACGAUCACAAAGCGCAGCUUAAUCGGAGGUAUUCCAUAGGCUCGUCCUGUGGAUGUAAUUAACCGGUAGCCUCAUUGCUAGGCGCCGGGAAUCAGCAGACUGCACGCAAUCUCUAGUCAGCAUAUCUUUCCAUUAAGCAUUCCUCGCGAAGGCAAAAGGCGAACUCCUGCGGGAGCCCUCAUGUAUUUGUAAACAUUCAUAUUAAUGAAUCAUGAUUAAUAAAAUACAAGGUUUCUCUAUUUUCUA